rnacentral:rRNA from 1 species
UGAGGAAUAUUGGUCAAUGGGGGCAACCCUGAACCAGCCAAGUCGCGUGAAGGAUGAAGGUCUUAUGGAUUGUAAACUUCUUUUAUACGGGAAUAAAGUGGGGGACGUGUCCCCCUUUGCAUGUACCGUAUGAAUAAGGAUCGGCUAACUCCGUGCCAGCAGCCGCGGUAAUACGGAGGAUCCGAGCGUUAUCCGGAUUUAUUGGGUUUAAAGGGUGCGCAGGCGGGAUGUUAAGUCGGCGGUGAAAUUUUGCAGCUCAACUGUAAAAGUGCCUUCGAUACUGGCCUCCUUGAGUGUGGAUGAAGUAGGCGGAAUUUGUGGUGUAGCGGUGAAAUGCUUAGAUAUCACGAGGAACUCCGAUUGCGCAGGCAGCUUACUAAGCCACAACUGACGCUCAUGCACGAAGGCGUGGGGAUCAAACA